UCCCGCGUGGUCUAAUGGUUGUGAUUCCUGGCUGUUCCCCAGGCGGCCCGUGUUCGAAUCUCGGUGUAGGAG
rnacentral:tRNA from 1 species